GCCAGUGUGGUACAGUAUAGUGGUUUGAGCACCGGACUAUGACUCUGGAGACCAGGGUUCGAAUCCUAGCUCGGCC